GUCCCCGCGUGGCGGUGGCCCCGCACCUCGGUGUGUGGGCUGUGCCAGGGCACGGUGCUGUGCCAGGAGCCGGUGCUGUCCCCAGGUGAUAGUGCUGUGCCAGGGAAUGGCCUCAGCCCUCCUCAGAGCAGCGUGCUGCGUGCUGGCCAGGUGCUACCUCCCCUGAACGCCGCGCGGCCCUACCGCGGUCUCUGCUUCAGGAAUCUCAGAUGGAGGAAUUGAGCAGAACACAUGGGGAAUUUGCUUUCAGAACUGAAGCUCAGCAGGACUUGGUUCUCUCCAUGAGUGACAGAAUCCUUCACAGUGAGUUCCCAGCAUAUUGAAAACUUUCAAAGGAUGAAAUGGAUUGGUUUGGCAGAUCUGAAGAGCCUGAAUUAAUCCCCUGGUUAGAGCAUUUGAGCACUGCUGAUGUGGAACAGCACAGCCAGCAACGUAAAGAUGUAACUGUGAAGUUGAAGCACAGUUCACUCAUCUCACAGUUCCCAGCUCUGAAGAGCAUAAAUAAAAGUCCUUGCACACCCAGAAAACACCUUCCAGGAGAUCAGUAAACCUCCAGAAAGGUCUGGAAGAUUGCAGAUGUACUCAGUGAUUUCCAAAAUUUCAAGAUGGUUAAUUCCAAGGAAACAAGAAACUUCAGGUGGACAUGGAAGGAGGAUUUAAACAAACUGACAGUUUGUCUUCAGAGGAUCUCCCUACAGAGCUCAGAGAGCCCCAGAGUUGAGGCCAGAAGGGACAAUUCCACCCAAGAUCCCCAUCUUGGGUCACACAGGAACGUCCUUCAUUCAGCAGUUCUGCACCAGGUCCCAAAUCCCGAUUCACUGAAACCACACGAUGAGAAAAUCAUUGCAUCUUAAUUUGAAGUGAUUCACAGAAAGUACAGCACUGCUGGGAGUGAAUCAAAGUCCUAUAAAUAAAAUGCUGUAACCUUAAUGUAAAAAGUGCAUCUCGACUCUAAUUUGUGAUGGCAAAACUUCCAGCCACUGGUGCCUUUUAUAUCUUUUAAUUAGUUUCAUUUUCCAAACCUUAAACCCUGCAGUGGUUUGCAGCUCCAUGAACAGAUGGCCUCUGUGUUUCUUUACAUUUGGUAGGAUUUGGGAGCUAAUGGGAUGGCUCUGUCUAAAAUUUUGUAGCUGCUUUGGAGCCGUAUUCUAAAACUUCACCCUAAGUGUUACUGUUCAUC